UCUUCCCUCUGGCGGCGUGCCUAAUACAUGCAAGUCGAGCGAACGGACGAGAAGCUUGCUUUUCUGAUGUUAGCGGCGGACGGGUGAGUAACACGUGGAUAACCUACCUAUAAGACUGGGAUAACUUCGGGAAACCGGAGCUAAUACCGGAUAAUAUUUUGAACCGCAUGGUUCAAAAGUGAAAGACGGUCUUGCUGUCACUUAUAGAUGGAUCCGCGCUGCAUUAGCUAGUUGGUAAGGUAACGGCUUACCAAGGCAACGAUGCAUAGCCGACCUGAGAGGGUGAUCGGCCACACUGGAACUGAGACACGGUCCAGACUCCUACGGGAGGCAGCAGUAGGGAAUCUUCCGCAAUGGGCGAAAGCCUGACGUAGCAACGCCGCGUGAGUGAUGAAGGUCUUCGGAUCGUAAAACUCUGUUAUUAGGGAAGAACAUAUGUGUAAGUAACUGUGCACAUCUUGACGGUACCUAAUCAGAAAGCCACGGCUAACUACGUG
rnacentral:rRNA from 1 species